rnacentral:tRNA from 1 species
GGGCGCAUAGCUCAGGGGUAGAGCACUCGCCUUACAAGCGAGGGGUCACUGGUUCGAACCCAGUUGCGCCCA